GAUGAAGAACGUAGCGAAAUGCGAUACGUAAUGUGAAUUGCAGAAUUCAGUGAAUCAUCGAAUCUUUGAACGCAUAUUGCGCUCUCUGGUAUUCCGGAGAGCAUGCUUGUUUGAGUAUCAGUAAACACCUCAACUCCCCUUUCUUUUUUUGAAAUGGGAGCUGGACUUGAGUGAUCCCAACGCUUUUCUCACCGAAAAGUGGCGGGUUACUUGAAAUGCAGGUGCAGCUGGACUUUUCUCUGAGCUAAAAGCAUAUCUAUUUAGUCUGCCUAAAAAACAGAUUAUUACCUUUGCUGCAGCUAACAUAAAGGAGAUUAGUUCUUGUGCUGACUGAUGCAGGAUUCACAGAUACAGCUUCGGCUGGCCUUUGUAAACUCGAUCUCAAAUCAAGUAAGACUACCCGCUGAACUUAAGCAUAUCAAUAAGCGGAGGA
rnacentral:misc_RNA from 1 species